AACCCUCGUGGGCAUAAGCGGAUUAUGAAAUGGAUCGAUGGAUGAACAAUGUUCCAAUUUCAUUGGAAUUGGGUUUGGAUGACGGGGAAACGAGAUGUCCGGUGAAGAUGAUGUCGCGUCAUUGCCGCCCGUAAUUAAAGAACUGUCUGUGUGGUUGUAUUAUAUCUAUUAUUAUACUGUAUGCAGUAUGUUUACAAUAUCCAGGUCAAGUGGCUAGUUUACACUUUAAAUGUUUGCUUUCAUAUCACUUGUUCGGUCUCAAACCCAAGGUUCGGUGAAAUGUUUUGUAUUUUAUAAGUAAUGAAAACAAAAUUUAUUAUUAUUAAAUAAAUCUGCUCUAAUGGGACAAAGAGAAUACUGAUGUUGAUUAUUUUAAUUUUUGUGAAGAAAUGUACAAAAAGUGUUCUUGCACUCAGACCAAUUGCAGAACUCCGGAAUGCGCGGUGUGCCAUGAGUAAGGGAAUUUCUUCGGGUACCAACUUUGAAUGGGGUUCAACAUCGAAAGUUAUGAUUUGGACCAUUUCACCCACUGUUAAGUUGAUGUUUUUUUUAAAUGAACCUCUUUUAAACUGCGUUGUGCGAUACUCCGUGCACUGACCGCCCUCUGCUGUGACACGAUAGUUAAGAUUCAUUAUGUUUUUAAUGACAUUUGUGCAGCAAAUGGGACGUGUGUACAACACUGGGAUAUGAGGAUGACACAGGUAGGACAUUUGUGGUAAUUGGCUUUGCACCAGCGCAUGGUGAUUGCAACACAUACCGUUAUGAAAUGUGUUUCGCGAUCAAUCGGCAAUGUGACAUGUCGCAAUAAUGUUUAAAGGACAAUAUUUAGAAUAUUUAGUGCAGAAUGUUGCUGCGUGGCUUUUAUGGCAAAAAAAAUCAAAAACAUGACAGCACAUCACUCUGAUUUUAAAGUUUUUGCACUGGCUUCCAGUUCGGUUCAGUAUUGAUUUUAAAACUCUUUUUUGUUUUUCAGUCCCUACAUGGGCUCGCCCCACAGUACUUGUUUGACCUGCUCUCGCCCUCCACCCUGGCGCGUUACCUGAGGUCGUCAGAUCAAUACUUGCUCACCAUACCAAAAUCAAAGGGAAAACGUACAUGGGACCGCGGUUUUUCAGAUGUUGCUCCAAAAUUGUAGGAUGAGCUGCCUCUGCACCUGAGACAGGCCAAUUCAAUUCCUGUUUUAAUUAAAAUCCUCUAUUGAAACACACUUGUUUUUCCUCCGGCUUUUACCUCGGUUUGAGAUGUUGAUUUUUUUUGUUUCAUUUA